UCCUCCUCCGUCCCCUUCCUUCCUGCUCCGCGCCACGGCUCUCCGCCGCUCCAACUCUCCCCCGAUAUCCACCAUAAUAUUCACUAUCAUCACAGUCACGUCGCCACCAUAAACCCAUUUUGGAAUCAGGUUUCAGUAACUGGAUGAAGGUACCGGAUUGAGAGAAGGUGGUCGGGCCAGAGAUAAGAAGAUUGCAUGAGAAAAAGGAAAGAAACAGAAUUAGGGAUGAAAAAGAGGGGAGGGAGAGGAAGGUAGGGGGAGAGAGAGGAAGGUAGGGGGAGAGAGAGGGAGAGAUGGAUGGAGAUGGAGAGAGAGCAAAGGGUGAACUGUAUCCAUGGAAACAUGAGGAAAGAGUGAUGGAAGAGAGAAUGAGAGGAGAAAGAGUGAUGUAGUUUGGAACUGAGUUGGAGAGUGGUAGAAUGAAAUGGUAUGGCUGCCAUUGCUGCACCUCCAAGUGCCUCCAUGCUUACUGAGAUACGGCUUUUUGCAAAAUACCCAUCUUCUCCAAUCAUUGUUUUUAAUUGUAUAGCUUUCUAAUGAUGUUCUUCAUCGGGCAACUCCAAAUCAGCUGAGCAUAGACAAAAUCAUAUGGCAAUUAAAUAAAUAAAGAGCCUACUUAUAUUCUAAUGGUUGAUUACUGAAUUUAUACACACACGCACACACAUGUUUAUACAUGUGUUGCAUUAUUGGCUAGUAAACAUUGGUUAAACUAAGGCUGAGUCAUUCUCAUGUAUGCACAGUAGCCGAUGCAUAUAUCCACAAAUGUCAUAUAAAAGUUAUCUGCUGACACACCAUAUGGAAUUUAUACCAGAUGUCGUUCCGACCUUCACCAAACCCUUACCAAAACCUGAAAGUCUCAAACUAAUACCAAAACAAGAUAACCAUCCUUUUCCUUAUCAGUAAACCAAACUAUUUCUUCAUGGAAUAGAGAAUAGGAUGCAU
ensembl:lncRNA